GACGAACGCUGGCGGCGUGCUUAACACAUGCAAGUCGAACGGAAAGGCCUGCUUUCCCUUGUGGAUUGCGGGUACUCGAGUGGCGAACGGGUGAGUAACACGUGAGUGAUCUGCCCCCAACUUGGGUAUAAGCCUGGGAAACUGGGUCUAAUUCCCGAUAGGACUGCAGGGUGGUGCCUGUGGUGGAAAACGAUUUUCUAGUGGUUGGGGAUGAGCUCGCGGCCUAUCAGCUUGUUGGUGGGGUAAUGGCCUACCAAGGCGGCGACGGGUAGCCGGCCUGAGAGGGUGGACGGCCACAUUGGGACUGAGAUACGGCCCAGACUCCUACGGGAGGCAGCAGUGGGGAAUAUUACACAAUGGGCGGAAGCCUGAUGCAGCGACGCCGCGUGGGGGAUGACGGCCUUCGGGUUGUAAACUCCUUUCGACCGCAAGGAAGCCACCUGGUUGGAAGGGUGGUGACGGUAGUGGUAGAAGAAGCACCGGCUAACUACGUG
rnacentral:rRNA from 1 species